CGUUAGCGGCUGACGGGUGAGUAACACGUGGGUAACCUACCUAUAAGACUGGGAUAACUUCGGGAAACCGGAGCUAAUACCGGAUAAUAUUUCGAACCGCAUGGUUCGAUAGUGAAAGAUGUUUUGCUAUCACUUAUAGAUGGACCUGCGCCGUAUUAGCUAGUUGGUAAGGUAACGGCUUACCAAGGCGACGAUACGUAGCCGACCUGAGAGGGUGAUCGGCCACACUGGAACUGAGACACGGUCCAGACUCCUACGGGAGGCAGCAGGC
rnacentral:rRNA from 1 species